rnacentral:rRNA from 1 species
GAUGAACGCUGGCGGCGUGCCUAAUACAUGCAAGUCGAGCGAACAGAUAAGGAGCUUGCUCCUUUGACGUUAGCGGCGGACGGAUGAGUAACACGUGGGUAACCUAACUAUAAGACUGGGAUAACUUCGGGAAACCGGAGCUAAUACCGGAUAACAUUUGGAACCGCAUGGUUCUAAAGUGAAAGAUGGUUUUGCUAUCACUUAUAGAUGGACACGCGCCGUAUUAGCUAGUUGGUAAGGUAACGGCUUACCAAGGCAACGAUACGUAGCCGACCUGAGAGGGAGGUCGGCCACACUGGAACUGAGACUCGGCCCAGACUCCUACGGGAGGCAGCAGUAGGGAAUCUUCCGCAAUGGGCGAAAGCCUGACGUAGCAACGCGGCGUGAGUGAUGAAGGAUUUCGGCUCGUAGAACUCUGUUAUUAGGGAAGAACAAACGUGUAAGUAACUGUGCUCGUCUUGACGGUACCUAAUCAGAAAGCCACGGCUAACUACGUG